CCUACGGGAGGCAGCAGUGGGGAAUAUUGGGCAAUGGGCGCAAGCCUGACCCAGCAACGCCGCGUGAAGGAAGAAGGCUCUCGGGUUGUAAACUUCUUUUAUCAGGGACGAAGCAAGUGACGGUACCUGAUGAAUAAGCCACGGCUAACUACGUGCCAGCAGCCGCGGUAAUACGUAGGUGGCAAGCGUUAUCCGGAUUUACUGGGAGUAAAGGGCGUGUAGGCGGGAAAGCAAGUCAGAUGUGAAAACCAUGGGCUCAACCUGUGGCCUGCAUUUGAAACUGUUUUUCGUGAGUACUGGAGAGGCAGACGGAAUUCCUGGUGUAGCGGUGAAAUGCAUAGAGAUCGCGCAGAACUCCGAUUGCGAAGGCAGCAUGCCGGCUCCACACUGACGCUGAGGCACGAAAGCGUGGGUAUCGAACAGGAUUAGAUACCCGUGUAGUC
rnacentral:rRNA from 1 species